rnacentral:rRNA from 1 species
UACGUAGGGUGCGAGCGUUAAUCGGAUUCACUGGGCGUAAAGGGUGCGUAGGCGGUCGGGUAAGUCUGAUGUGAAAUCUCACAGCUUAACUGUGAAACUGCAUUGGAUACUAUCCGGCUAGAGGAAUGGAGGGGAGACUGGAAUACUUGGUGUAGCAGUGAAAUGCGUAGAUAUCAAGUGGAACACCAGUGGCGAAGGCGAGUCUCUGGACAUUUCCUGACGCUGAGGCACGAAAGCCAGGGGAGCAAACGGG